rnacentral:rRNA from 1 species
UAGGCAACGUCAGGGCCUAAGGUUAUUAACCUUAAACUUUUCCUCCCUACUGAAAGUGCUUUACAACCCUAAGGCCUUCUUCACACACGCGGCAUUGCUGCAUCAGAGUUUCCUCCAUUGUGCAAUAUUCCCC